GAUGAACGCUGGCGGCGUGCCUAAUACAUGCAAGUCGAGCGAACAGACUAUGUGCUUGCUCCCCUGACGUUAGCGGCUGACGGGUGAGUUACACGUGGAUAACCCACUUAUAAUAGUGGGAUAACUUCGGUAGACUGGAUAUAAUACCCGCUAAUACAUUCUCCCGCUUUGUUCAUUAGUGAAAUACGUUUUUGUUGUCAUUUUUUGAUGGACACCCGCCGUAUUUGCUAGUUCGUAAGGUAACGGCUUAUCACGGGAACCAUGCAUAGCCGACCUGAGAGGGUGAUCGGCGACACUGGAACUGAGACACGGUCCAGAGUCCUGCGGGAGGCAGCAGUAGGGAAUCUUCAGCAAUAGGCGAAAGCCUGACGGAGCAACGCCGCGUGAGUGAAGAAGGUCUUCGGUACGUAAAACACUGUUAUUAGGGAAGAACGAAUGUGUAAGUAACUAGAAAUGUCUGGACGGUACCUAAUCAGAAAGCCACGGAUAACUACGUG
rnacentral:rRNA from 1 species